rnacentral:misc_RNA from 1 species
CUCUUCUGGGUUUGAUUUGGGAUGAAGGUAAAUUGAUGAUCUUUUAGGUAAAUGAUCAUAUGGGUUCCUUUACUCAUAUAACAUGUUAAUGAUUUCUUGCUUCUUUGGAAAAAAAAAUAAAUAAAGGUGUCAAGAAACCAGAUUGGGAAGAAGAGGAAACAUCAAGAGUCAUCUGCUAAUACCUCAGAAACUGCCCCUGAGGAUACUGUUGCUUCUACUAUGGAUGCCAACGAUGGAUUCACAUUUACUGAAGUAAAUUCAGU